rnacentral:rRNA from 1 species
GAUGAACGCUAGCGGCAGGCUUAAUACAUGCAAGUCGGACGGCAGCACGGGUAGCAAUACCUGGUGGCGAGUGGCGCACGGGUGCGUAACGCGUAUGCAACCUACCCUUAACUGAGACAUAACCUGGCGAAAGCUGGGCUAAUAUCUCAUGAGGUUAUAGAGGGGCAUCCUGAUAUAAUCAAAGCAGCGAUGUGGUUAAGGAUGGGCAUGCGUCCCAUUAGCUAGUUGGCGAGGUAACGGCUCACCAAGGCGACGAUGGGUAGGGGUUCUGAGAGGAAGGUCCCCCACACUGGUACUGAGACACGGACCAGACUCCUACGGGAGGCAGCAGUAAGGAAUAUUGGGCAAUGGUCGGAAGACUGACCCAGCCAUGCCGCGUGCAGGAAGAAGGCCCUAUGGGUUGUAAACUGCUUUAGCCAGGGGCUAAACCUACCGAUGCGUUGGUAGCUGAAGGUACCUGGAGAAUAAGCAUCGGCUAACUCCGUGCCAGCGGCCGCGGUAAUACGGAGGAUGCGAGCGUUAUCCGGAUUUACUGGGUUUAAAGGGUGCGCAGGCGGUUGUUUAAGUCAGGGGUGAAAGCCCUAUGCUCAACAUAGGGAUUGCCUUUGAUACUGAACGGCUAGAGUGAAGAUGGAGUGGGUGGAAUGUGUUGUGUAGCGGUGAAAUGCAUAGAUAUAACACAGAACACCGAUCGCGAAGGCAGCUCACUAAUUUUC